GGAGGUAGUGACAAUAAAUCACAAUGCGGGACUGUUAGUCUUGCAAUUGGAUUGAGAACAACGUACAACUCUUAUCGAUAAGCCAUUGGAGGGCAAGUCUGGUGCCAGCAGCCGCGGUAAUUCCAGCUCCAAUAGCGUAUAUUAACGUUGUUGCAGUUAAAAAGCUCGUAGUUGAAGUGAGGGAGUGUGUAGGUAUGAGAGCUAGUCUCAAGUACUUACAACCUCCCCCUUCCAAUCGGUGUAGUGGGGUAUUCAGUUAUUCUACUACUCCUUUGGUCGUUUACUGUGAGAAAAUUAGAGUGUUCAAAGCGGGCGUUUGUUUGAAUAGAUUAGCAUGGAAUAAUGAUUGAAGGCUUUCGUGUUCGAUUUGAUUGGUUUGUUCAUGGAAGCAAGGUUAAAAGGAACAGUUGGGGGUAUUCAUAUUCACUAGUUAGAGGUGAAAUUCUCGGAUUUAUGGAAGAUGAACAAGUGCGAAAGCA
rnacentral:rRNA from 1 species